ensembl:snoRNA SNORD30 Small nucleolar RNA SNORD30
GUGCAUGAUGACUUCCUUAAUGGAAUCUCGUUCGGCUGAUGCCUUGCUGUUGAGACUUGGAAAUCUGAUAUUC